ACGGGGGGUGCAAGCGUUACUCGGAAUCACUGGGCGUAAAGAGCAUGUAGGCGGAUUAAUAAGUUUGAAGUGAAAUCCUAUAGCUUAACUAUAGAACUGCUUUGAAAACUGUUAAUCUAGAAUGUGGGAGAGGUAGAUGGAAUUUCUGGUGUAGGGGUGAAAGGCGUAGAGAUCGGGAGGAAUAGCGGUGGCGAAGGCGAACAACUGGAAGGUAACUGACGCUGAGACGCGAAAGCGUGGGGAGCAAACAG
rnacentral:rRNA from 1 species